rnacentral:tRNA from 1 species
CUUAAGAUGGCAGAAUUAGUGUGAUAGCUUUAAAAUCUAUGUAUGGGUAUUCCUCUUAAGA